UGGGGCGGGGCAACCAAAAUAGUUCCCCUGUUUAAUCCCCCCUGGGCAGCUCCCUGCCUGGUGGGAGCAGGGUGCUUUGCGCCUCAGAACAGCAAGCCUCCUUAGCCGGCGCCUCCGUAGGCAGGCGGACAGACCAGGUUCGUGUCUCUUGGGAGGGAUCCCCUGCUCUCGGCCCCACCAGCUUCAGGGAGGAUGGCCAGGUGUCCAGCGUUCACAGCGUUUCUGCUUUGGCAUCUGCGUCUGGAAGCCACGGCUCAGGGAGCCUCCGGUGCAGAGACUGUGCCAGUGCGGGUUCUCCAGCUCAGAAGGACCCGGUUCGGCGCUUCAUCGGGACGCAGGCAUGAAAACCCUGGACCUCAGUGCGUCCAGGCACCAGGCAAUAGUCCAGAAGACUGUCACCAGGAUCGGGCUGAGAUCUGACACCGGAUAAAAUUCCCCUAAAGAAAGAAGAAUGCCUGUCUACCCCUGUCCUGAGUCUUAUCUGAAACCCUGUUUUUCUUCUUUGACACGGUAAAACUCCCUGCAAUUCUUCGCCAAAGGAGGGCACAAUCUUUAAGGCCUUAUUCUGCUGUGCCCUCCUUUGCCUGGCAAAGCCAUCAAGGCCAUUUUUCAUUCCUUC